rnacentral:miRNA from 1 species
GGGGGUUGCUGUCAAGCAUAA